GUUAGGUCAACACCCUCAGGAUUUUCAGAGUUGAAAGGGACCUCCCUGGCCAUGUAUUCCAGCCCACACUUGAUCAAGAGUCUCCAGUGCAGUGUCUCCAAUAAGGGGCGAUCCAGUCUUUGCUUCAUAACUCCAAUGUGAUGGGGGUUGUUUUUCAGCUGUUUUCUGGUAGUGACCGACUCUUCGUGACCCUAUUCAGGGUUUUCUUGACAGAGCUCUGUCCUCUGGGACCAAACAGCCAAUCAGCUCCCUUUGAAGUAGAAGGCACCGGGGUAAGAAUUGAGAGGGACAUGUAAGCUCCCCACAAGUAUCUGAAGGAGGAGACCUCAGCCCCGCUCAGCUUGACCAAGCAGAUUCCGAUCCAUAAAAGUGCCCGGCACAUAAUUCCAGGUCCAGUUUACCAAGGCCAUGAUUUUGGGCCCGAGGCCCCACAGACUGACUCAUCGCGAGCCUCAAAUUCCCAGGGUAAUGUAGAGGAACUGAGCGUGCUGGGGCAGUCCUCUGAGUCUGUCCCCUGCAGCAACCCGCCCUGGGCCUGGCUGUGAGGGCAGCCCAGGUGACCUGCCUGUCCCGGGGGCCCAGACUCCUGUCCUGGGCUCGGCUCCAGUGUGUGGAAGGUUCACAUGUUCUUGGGAAUCACUGAAUAAGCAGAAACCUCCUUGGGUCACUCCUAGGCAUCAGUGGAGCUGAAGCAGCCCCUCUCCCCACCCUGCCCAGAUAUCUCCCUUGUCUGCCUGGCAUUCCACCAUUAAAGUCACACCUGAUAAUUUGGGCUUUAUUUCAAGAAGGGAAGCUGGAGUGGAGGGACAGCAGGGCCUGGGUAGAGCAGAGUGCUAGCCAAUCUCAGAAGGAGUGGCUGGCAUAGAGAAAAGUGGUUAUGGGAGAAGAGCUGCCAGUGUUCCCCAACCUACAUCCA